rnacentral:lncRNA from 1 species
AUGUGGAUGUCGGAAUAUCUAUUGUUUGUGAUAUGUGGAUACGGUUCUGCACAUGGACGGUGUUUUGAAUACUUAAUGGCCGGGUAUAUAGUUUUUGCGCUUGAGAAACUAUGUUCAAGGAAAACUUUGAGUGGUUCAUCUGCUAGGCUUGGAAAAGAAAAAAAAGCAAAAUUGCAUGACAUUGAAAUUGUGUACGACAUGGCUCACUUGGACAUGGAGCUUGCAGGGUUUACUUUGUUUUCCUCUCGUGGAUGA